AAUGAUUUGUCUGGUUAAUUCCGUUAACGAACGAGACCCCCGCCUGCUAAAUAGUUAAUAAAAUACUAUGUAUUUUAUAUAACUUCUUAGAGGGACUUUCGGUGACUAAUCGAAGGAAGUUGGGGGCAAUAACAGGUCUGUGAUGCCCUUAGAUGUCCUGGGCCGCACGCGCGCUACACUGACACACGCAACGAGUAUUCCUUGUCCGAAAGGUCUGGGUAAUCUUUUAAAUGUGUGUCGUGAUAGGGAUAGAUUAUUGCAAUUAUUAAUCUUGAACGAGGAAUUCCUAGUAAACGCGAAUCAUCAGUUCGCAUUGAUUACGUCCCUGCCCUUUGUACACACCGCCCGUCGCACCUACCGAUUGAAUGGUCCGGUGAACCCUCUGGACCGCGCUUACGGGGUUAAACCUGUAUGUCGCGGGAAGUUGGGUAAACCUUACCAUUUAGAGGAAGGUGAAGUCGUAACAAGGUUUCCGUAGGUGAACCUGCGGAAGGAUCAUU
rnacentral:rRNA from 14 species